UCAAAAUUUCCUUCAUUAUGCUCGAUUUUACCAUCAUCCAACAUCUUCUUCAAACUACUUGCAGCCUUUGAGGUUUUCUCUACACAAUUACAGGGAUGGUUAAAAACACUAAAUUUAAUGUCUAAUAAUAACUAGAGAAGAAUCCCGCAAACACCAAAAAAUUGAACGUUUCUUUGAUCAUGGAGAAAACAAAUUUAAAGGCUUUGAUUUCUUUUCGCCAUCACAGGAGACUCAGAAAUUGCAAACAUUUGUUAUUUUUUGAUAAUUGAUUUAGACCUCAGUUAUCAUUCCAUGCAAUAUUGUAUCAUUUUAUGAUCCUUCAUGACUUCAAUUCGCCAAUUCCAGAGUACAUGUCUACAGCAAGAUCUAUUUUAUCAUCUAAUGCCUACAUUUAUUCAUAUAAUUUAUUUGUGUCAUCUAUUUAUGUGACAGGGGAAAUUAAAAUAAAUACAAAAGGUUUAGUUA